UAACAAAAAGAGCCUAUGCUAGGGAGUC
rnacentral:piRNA from 1 species